rnacentral:rRNA from 2 species
UACGUAGGGGGCUAGCGUUGUCCGGAAUCACUGGGCGUAAAGGGUUCGCAGGCGGAAUAACAAGUCAGAUGUGAAAGGCAUGGGCUCAACCCAUGUAAGCAUUUGAAACUGUAAUUCUUGAGAAGUGGAGAGGUAAGUGGAAUUCCUAGUGUAGCGGUGAAAUGCGUAGAUAUUAGGAGGAAUACCUGUGGCGAAGGCGACUUACUGGACACAAAUCUGACGCUGAGGAACGAAAGCGUGGGUAGCAAACAGG